UACAGAGACUGCAAGCGUUAUUCGGAUUCACUGGGCGUAAAGGGUGCGCAGGCGGCCAAGUGUGUGAGGCGUGAAAGCCCGGGGCUUAACCCCGGAAUUGCACCUCAAACUACAUGGCUAGAGCAUUGGAGAGGGUAGCAGAAUUCAUGGUGUAGCAGUGAAAUGCGUAGAUAUCAUGAGGAAUACCAGAGGCGAAGGCGGCCAGCUGGGCCGUCCCUGACGCUGAGGCGCGAAGGCGUGGGGAGCGAACGGG
rnacentral:rRNA from 1 species